rnacentral:rRNA from 1 species
GACGAACGCUGGCGGCGCGCCUAACACAUGCAAGUCGAACGGAGCUGAGAGAAGCUUGCUUUUCUUAGCUUAGUGGCGAACGGGUGAGUAACGCGUGAGUAACCUGCCCUGGAGUGGGGGACAACAGUUGGAAACGACUGCUAAUACCGCAUAAGCCCACGAUCCGGCAUCGGCAUGAGGGAAAAGGAUUUAUUCGCUUCAGGAUGGACUCGCGUCCAAUUCGCUAGUUGGUGAGGUAACGGCCCACCAAGGCGACGAUUGGUAGCCGGACUGAGAGGUUGGACGGCCACAUUGGGACUGAGACACGGCCCAGACUCCUACGGGAGGCAGCAGUGGGGGAUAUUGCACAAUGGGGGAAACCCUGAUGCAGCGACGCCGCGUGGAGGAAGAAGGUGUGCGGAUUGUAAACUCCUGUCGUUAGGGACGAUAAUGACGGUACCUAACAAGAAAGCACCGGCUAACUACGUG